rnacentral:rRNA from 1 species
UACGUAGGUGGCAAGCGUUGUCCGGAAUUAUUGGGCGUAAAGCGCGCGCAGGUGGUUUCUUAAGUCUGAUGUGAAAGCCCAGCGGCCUCAACCGUGGAGGGUCAUUGGAAACUGGGGAACUUGAGUGGCAGGAGAGAAGAGUGGAAUUCCACGUGUAGCGGAUGAAAUGCGUAGAGAUGUGGAGGAACACCAGUGGCGAAGGCGACUCGUUUGGCCUCGUAACUGACACUGAGGCGCGAAAGCGUGGGGAGCAAACAGG